ensembl:snoRNA small nucleolar RNA, H/ACA box 53
AACAUGCUUCCUUAGAUCCACCUUUGUGGAUGAAUCUUGAACUGAGUUCUGCUUGUAAACAUCUUGUUGCUUGUAGUUCCAGUCAAAGAAACAUCCAGCAACUUUUUUGGUUGUACAGUCGAAGGUGCUUGAGUCAUUGGCAUGUGAGAGAAAUAUACCUGCAUAUCAGUCCAAAGUUCUGAUAGAAAUGACAGACAUUUAUGCUGUCAUUUUUUACUAUCAGGAUUUGAUUGGUGUGCGGACACU